rnacentral:rRNA from 1 species
AUUGAACGCUGGCGGCAUGUCUUACACAUGCAAGUCGAACGGCAGCACGGGUGCUUGCACCUGGUGGCGAGUGGCGAACGGGUGAGUAAUACAUCGGAACAUGUCCUGUAGUGGGGGAUAGCCCGGCGAAAGCCGGAUUAAUACCGCAUACGAUCUACGGAUGAAAGCGGGGGACCUUCGGGCCUCGCGCUAUAGGGUUGGCCGAUGGCUGAUUAGCUAGUUGGUGGGGUAAAGGCCUACCAAGGCGAUGAUCAGUAGCUGGUCUGAGAGGACGACCAGCCACACUGGGACUGAGACACGGCCCAGACUCCUACGGGAGGCAGCAGUGGGGAAUUUUGGACAAUGGGCGAAAGCCUGAUCCAGCAAUGCCGCGUGUGUGAAGAAGGCCUUCGGGUUGUAAAGCACUUUUGUCCGGAAAGAAAUCCUUGGCCCUAAUACGGUCGGGGGAUGACGGUACCGGAAGAAUAAGCACCGGCUAACUACGUG